CAAGAUUAUCAAACCACGAGACACCAAGAAUUUUACGUGGAAAACCCUCUAAAACUAAGAGGUAAAAACUACGGGACGAUCUCCGAAAAAUCCACUAGAAUAAUAUGAGAGAAUACAAAGAUAUCUUAAUUUGAGUACAAACUCAAAUUACUUCACCACAAUAACUAUGUGAUGGAACCCAAAUAAAACACCCUUCUAUUUGAA
rnacentral:lncRNA from 1 species